UGGGUGACCUGCCCUCGAGUGGGGAAUAACGCUGCGAAAGCAGCGCUAAUACCGCAUACUCUCAAUCCUUCAGUGGGUUGAGCAAAGCAUAUGCGCUUGAGGAGGGGCCUGCGGCGGAUUAGCUAGUCGGUGGGGUAACGGCCUACCGAGGCGACGAUCCGUAGCUGGUCUGAGAGGAUGACCAGCCACACUGGGACUGAGACACGGCCCAG
rnacentral:rRNA from 1 species